rnacentral:lncRNA from 1 species
AAAGUGUCAAAACGCAAUUACAUCAUAACGGACAAAACUAAGCUACAAUCAAAUUGCAAAAGCUGCAGCAAGCGCCAAAACCCAGCUGCAGCCAAAACGCAAAGGCAACACACGCAUCAGCGGUAAACCACGAAAACCAAACCAAGAUUUCCAAAACGCGAAAAUAGCAGCUAGCUGCAAAAUAAAUCAAAAUCAAAAUGCAGUACAAGCCAUCUCAAACGCGAGCCAUACAAGUGAAACAUAGUCGGAUUAAAACACAACUCAUAGCAUACAUCAAAAUAAUAAUGAGUUGCGAAAGCUGGAGCAUAAACGCAAAGCAAUCCGAAAUGCAGCGAAAGUUAUCAAAACACGUAAACUUCAAAACUUUUAUAAAUACCUUGGUUAACGGUGAAGAUGGAUGGCCAAGAUUUUUUCGGAAUUUCUUCUUCCACUCUCUUCUACUUCCACCACCGAUAACAACCGCAACAAACUUUUUCUUCCAUAACCACAACCUCACCUCAUUCGUCAUCGCAACCUUCAUCACCACCGCGAUCCACUUCAACCUCACCUCUCCGCGUACAACCUUCAACAGAAUCGCUUCAUCAACACCAUCUUCUUCUUCACGCAAACAAC